rnacentral:misc_RNA from 1 species
UUAACUUAUUUGUUAUAUUACUCAGACAACACAAAAAAUCAAGAGUUUAGGGUCCUCUGGCAGGCACAGACCAGCCUAAGCCGGUGGUCAAAAGACGGGCCUGCCAAAGCAACAAAGGUAAUGUAAACAAAGGGUGGGAGAUCUACCCCAAGGGGCAAUUUCUCUGUAAUGAUCCUUCCGCAGGUUCACCUACGGAACACAUGGUCUACAGCCUUUUCAGAAGUAGGCCGGUCAUAUCUGAAUCCAAGACAGGGGUUAGCUGUUUUUGGACCACCUUCGUUUGAUCUGUGAACUGCUAUCAGCAGCUGCAUGUUACCAUGAUGGUAUCCAAGCACAUUGAAGAUGUUGCCUACUUAAGUAGACUGGUGGUAUCCAAGGCUUCGGCAGGUGUUGUUCCUCGAGAAA